UACAGAGGGUGCGAGCGUUAAUCGGAAUUACUGGGCGUAAAGCGCGCGUAGGCGGCUCUGCAAGUCGGGUGUGAAAUCCCCAGGCUUAACCUGGGAACUGCAUUCGAGACUGCAUUGCUAGAGUAUGGGAGAGGGAAGUGGAAUUUCCGGUGUAGCGGUGAAAUGCGUAGAUAUCGGAAGGAACACCAGUGGCGAAAGCGGCUUCCUGGUCCAGCACCGACGUUCAGGCACGAAAGCGUGGGGAGCAAACAGG
rnacentral:rRNA from 1 species